AGCAGUCAGCAGAACAGAACCUGGAGGUCCGCGUCGGAUCACUGCUGCAGUCAGGCUGAUCAACAGAGUGAUGAGAAAUCACCUUUUUAAUACCACAAGUUACGAACUAAUCUCUGAGCUCUGCUCCCGUCAGCAGGAGCAGAACCUGAUGAGACCUGGAUCAGCACCACAACACUCAGCACACAUCUUAUGUUUUGAUGGCAACAUUUAAAAAGAAAAAUUACAUAUUGAACACUGAAAAUAACUGAAAAACAUUCAUACUAAUUAUUAGGGACUAAUAAUUAGUAUUCCAACAUUUUUAUAGAUGUGUUUUUAAUGAGUGAAGGUGAUUUCUCCUUCUGCCUGAGUUUUCUGAAGUUGCAGUGUUUUGAGCCUCUCAGCCACCGUAGAACAGAGGCGAGCAGCGGAGAGUUUCACAGAGAGAGAGAGUCACGUUUCAGAUUUACAGCCUCCAACAGUGUCGACCGCUUCUCUCUCAGACAGGAUUGAGUUUCUGGUGCGACCCCGACGCCUCGCUGUCGCCUCCAUCAGCUUCUCAUCUGUCUAAAACUUUAAACUGUGAAGAAAGAGCAGCCAGACACAAACUGGAGUCCUCUGGGUGUCAGUGUCGCAUGUGCAGUUGUUUGGUUUUAGUGGUGGAAUUCUGGGAAAUGAAGUUAGUUCUGCUGUUGCAGCUAAAGUUUUCCACAUAUCAGAUUAAACAUUAGUUAGACUGACAUGUUGAGACGUCAGAUUCAUUCAAAGUGAAGUCAAUAUUUUAUUACCGAGCUUCCAGCUGCAGUCGAGCUUUAGAUCAACAUUCCUGCUGACUCUGAGUCAGCUCAGUACAGAUUAGAUACUGACUGCCAGGAUGGACCGUUCCUAUUGGCUAAGCCAGCUAUGAUGUCAUGAUGAUGACAUCUCUCUCCCAGCACCUAAAAAGAAAAUCAAGGACACAGUUUGAUCACAGAAUGAUGCCGAGCAUUGCAUAAGAAGCUAAUGAAGCUAACAAAGCUAAUGAAGCUAAUGAAACAAGCUACACUUAUGUGAAGACUUUAUCCUCUACUGAAUUUAUUUAAUUGAUUUAUUGUAUUAUUGUCUUCCUCAGUGUGUUCACUUCUAAUGGAAAGCUACUCACUAAGUUUUGGAAAAAAUGUUUCUUUGGGAGAAAAAACCUUUCAGAAGCUUGUGUGUGAAAGUUAAACAUGAAAAUGCUAAUGUUUAGUAGUAAUAUUUAGGGAUGUCACGAUGUCACUUUUAAAUCAAAUAUUGAGUGGAAUGGAAAACAGGAUUAGUGAUUUUUCCUCUUCAUGUCCAGCUACUAUCAUAGCGUUAGCCUGAAGCUAUCAUAGCGUUAGCCUGCAGCUAUCAUAGCGUUAGCCUGAAGCUAUCAUAGCGUUAGCCUGCAGCUAUCAUAGCGUUAGCCUGAAGCUAUCAUAGCGUUAGCCUGCAGCUAUCAUAGCGUUAGCCUGAAGCUAUCAUAGCGUUAGCCUGCAGCUAUCAUAGCGUUAGCCUGAAGCUAUCAUAGCGUUAGCCUGCAGCUAUCAUAGCGUUAGCCUGAAGCUAUCAUAGCGUUAGCCUGCAGCUAUCUUAGCGUUAGCUUGCAGCUGUCAUAACGUUAGCCUGUAGCUAUCAUAGCGUUAGCCUGCAUUGUCACUUCCAGACUCUUCGCCUGUGAUGAAGACGAUCAGCUGACUGGGAACUCUUGCAGCAUCGGACAUGUUGGUUCAUUUUCAUUUUCGGAGAACUUGUUUGUGAAGAAGUGUUCACAGAAACUGAGCUUAAGCUAAAGUUAACUAUUUCUAUCUCUUGUUGUUUAUUGUUGAAUCACUGACGGCAAACUGAAUUGAAUCAGAACUUUAAAUCAGAACUUUAAAAUCAGGAGCUGAUCCAGCCGAUCCUCGGCUGCAUCAGCUGUGAUCAAACUGUCUCCUCUUUGGUUUUUUCUUUAUCCUACAGCAGAAACCACUGCCCUCUUGUAUCUCAGUACACCAUGCACACACACACACACACACACACACACACACACACACACACACACACACACACACACACACACACCUGCAGUGUAGAAGAACAAUGUAAACCUUCAGGCCGGAGCUGAUCUGAGCUCUGGUUUGUCCAAUAAGCAGGUUUUUAGACGUUCAGCGUCGGCUCGUGUUGCUUAGUGACCAAAUGAUGUGCAGCUAUUUUUUAACCUACAUAGAGAAAGUGGCAUGUUUGUUAUUAAAAUCUAAUCGAAAGUGUAAAAUUAUAUCAAUACAUGAAUGUCGAGGAAACAGAAUGACACAUUUAGCUGUCGAAGAGGACGACGGAGGGACGGAACAGAGACUUUUCUGAGGCAUGAUGGGAAAUAACAAGAGAUCUUUAUGGACGUGAUCUUCCUCGUCACCACACGGACGCUUCAGGACAUCUGUAACGACUUCAGCACACAUACAUAUAUAUCCUCAAACUAUAAAUACUAUCAUCGUCAUAUCUGAUCAAGUUAGAUGUGUCUGUUUGCAGGACAGCGAAUCGAACGUCCUCACCUGAUUCAGGUGACUCACUGACUCCUGAUCUGAAUGGACUCUUUAAAGGUGCACUGCGAAGGAUUUCAUGCUCAACAAAUCAAAUGAAUAUAGUGAAAGUGUGAAAUGAGACUCGCGGCGCCUUUAAAGUCAAACGGCUCAGAAUGAAUUCACGCCAAAAUCACCGCCACCACAUCCUGCAUCCCACGCCACCACGUCUGCCUCGACGCCACACGCUUCCUGUAUCUGUGGAGGGAAACGAAACAAAAAAAGAGACUGUGAGAGUUGUUGAGUGAGCGAGCAUUGGUCACUUUACGUUGAGAUGAUUUCAUUUUUCUUUCUUUUCUUUCUUUCUGUUGUUUGAGGAAUGAAUCUGAUGCUGCGAUGACGCUGAGCAGGUUUAUGCUUUGUUCUGAUUGGUUGUGUGUAUUUAGAAACAGGAAGUGAAGGUUGCUGUGACUCGACACCACGAUGACACAAAGAUUGUUCCACGAUGUUUUUAUUUCUUUCUGUACAUUUUAAAGUGUUUUUUUCUUCUUUUUUUUAAUCAAAUUAUUUCAAGAAGCAGGGCGACUUCCUGGAGGCGUGUCACCGCCAGCGCGUCUGAGGUUUUAACUGCUGCGAGCACGAUGUCAUGACGAUGAUGAUGUCAUACUUUUAUUUAACCUUUAAUGACGUAGAUUUAUAUAAUAACACUGGCAGUUACACUUCCUGCCUCAGGUGCAUGACGGGUAUCGAACAUCUAAAACGAUGUUUCUUUAGAGGGGAGAGAGGUCGGGCUGAGGUCAAAGGUCGGACUCGUCGGCGGUGACCCGCCCGUCUGAAGCCGCCCUGCUGCUGUACAUACUGAACCACUGAAUGACAAUAUGAUGAUUAUUGUUGUUGUUGUUUUCAUAUCUGGAUGCAGGUGAUGUAACAGAUGAAUGGUGACGUGAAUGAUUAACCAUGAGUUACAAUAAAGAGCAUUUCUAUUUGCUUUGAGGA